rnacentral:misc_RNA from 1 species
AACGCAUCUUGCGCUCUUUGGUAUUCCAAAGGGCAUGCCUGUUUGAGUGUCAUUAAAUUCUCAAAGCAAAUAAAUGUUGCAUUGCUUGCUUUGGAGCUGAAGAUUGCUGGCUAUUUUUGUUGGUCGGCUUCUUUGAAAUGCAUUAGUGAGAUCAUGGCUUGGUCUUGGUGUGAUAAGUAUCUGCACCUUGAAACUGCUAUUGAACUUGCUCAAUAAUAAGACUACAUUUUUUGACCUUUGACCUCAAAUCAGGUAAGACUACCCGCUGAACUUAA